rnacentral:lncRNA from 1 species
CAAUCCAUGAUGCUGCAGCUCCUUGUCCCUAAUCACACCAAAAAUGAUUCAGUAUUGUCAUAACUGAAUCUAUCAGAAAAAUGAACCAAUGUCUGGUAGUACUCUUAAGUUGGAUUAAUCAUGUAAGAACAUGCUUGAGCUCUUGCAAUGGAACCUAGAGUUACUUACCUUAAUACCAAAGUAAGCUGGGCCUUCCAUUUUUUACUUUUGUUCUACAAAUUUCAUAUACAAAAAUAUACAAUCAUCAAAAUGUAACAGAGCCGUAGUUCCACAAGCAAAUAAAGCAUUGAAACUAUAAGGCCUUACAAACUAAGUAAGUACAAUUCAAAUGUAAAUAUGAAAUGGUGUCGCGGAAAUUAACAAAGCGAACUGCAGUUCAGUACCAAACACUGUCUUUUAGUUCUUUGAUGAUCACAUUAUUAACAAAGACUGGACAAACAACAUUCUGAGAAACUCUACUGGCGCAACCAGCAAGCCAUACACACGGUGAUCAGCCUCUGCAAUAGAAACACAUGGUGCCCGCAUGCCUCGGUUUGUACAUGAAAACAUAUGAAAUAUUAAAAAGCAGAGAAGCAAGAUCUGUAGUGUUCCCAUCAACCAUUGAAAGAUUCAAUUAGGAAUGAAUUAGUUACUUUUACACACAGCAAAGAAUGAAAGCUUAAAAAACCAUCAAAACAUAUUCAUUCAAAUCAGCAGCAAUGUGAAAUUACAACUACCAUCAUAUUUUUAGAAACAAAUCUUGCAAACAAAGUAGGAUAAUUACCACAAUCUUCUAGGAAUUCAUGGUCCCACCUAGCUAGUCUCAACAAACGCCAAAAGUUGGUGAUCCCAUAAAUGUAUUAAGUGAUUGUCUUAAAGUUUGGACCAGACUCACACAAUUAUCCCUGCAAAAAUUGGACAGACUGAAAUUACUAAUACUUUGUACUUGCACAAAACAGAAAGGUAUAUAGUCAGAAAGUAGUCAAGUAAAAAACCCUCUCCAUCCCAACUACUUCAUGGCAAUAUUAAAUGAGACAGAUUCCCUAGCCAAAUUUAUAAUGGUAAUACAUAGUUCAGAGAUUGAAUAAUAUCCCUAGUAGUAAACUGAACUAUAGAAGGUGCUACAGCUAGCCAUCUUUGCUGUAACAACACGAUGAUAUUCCUAAGAAACUAUCAUCUGCGUUGGUACUUUCUCAGGUUUAGGAUAUCCAUUCCUUACAUGGCAAUGCAACCCAACAUGAUAUCCUUUAUGCUUAUGGUUAAUACGAAAGAUUUAGUAAAA